rnacentral:lncRNA from 1 species
GUUGUUGUUGUUUAGUCGUUUAGUCGUGUCCGACUCUUCAUGACCCCAUGGACCAGAGCACGCCAGGCACUCCUGUCUUCCACUGCCUCCCGCAGUUUGGUCAAACUCAUGCUGGUAGCUUCGAGAACACUAUCCAACCAUCUCGUCCUCUGUCGUUCCCUUCUCCUUGUGCCCUCCAUCUUUCCCAACAUGAGGGUCUUUUCCAGGGAGUGUUCUCUUCUCAUGAGGUGGCCAAAGUAUUGGAGUCUCAGCUUCAGGACCUGUCCUUCCAGCGAGCACUCAGGGCUGAUUUCCUUAAGAAUGGAUAGGUUUGAUCUUCUUGCAGUCCAUGGGACUCUCAAGAGUCUCCUCCAGCACCAUAAUUCAAAAGCAUCAAUUCUUUGGCGGUCAGCCUUCUUUAUGGUCCAGCUCUCACUUCCAUACAUCACUACUGGGAAAACCCUAGCUUUUACUAUACGGACCUUUGUUGGCAAGAUGAUGUCUCUGCUUUUUAAGAUGCUGUCUAGGUUUGUCAUUGCUUUUCUCCCAAGAAGUAGGCGUCUUUUAAUUUUGUGGCUGCUGUCACCAUCUGCAGUGAUCAUGGAGCUGAAGAAAGUAAAAUCUCACUGCCUCCAUUUUCCCCCCUUCUAUUUGCCAGGAGGUGAUGGGACCAGUGGCCAUGAUCUUCCUUUUUUUGAUGUUGAGCUUCAGACCAUAUUUUGUGCUCUCCUCUUUCACCCUCAUUAAAACGUUAUUUAAUUCCUCCUCACUUUCUGCCAUCAAUGUUGUGUCAUCUGCAUAUCUGAGGUUGUUGAUAUUUCUUCCGGCAAUCUUAAUUCCAGCUAGGGAUUCAUCCAGCCCAGCCUUUCGCAUGAUGAAUUCUGCAUAUAAGUUAAAUAAGCAGGGAGACUAUAUAUUAUAGUAUAUUAAUAGUGAAAUACAAUUAAGAAGUAUAUUACUAGUGAAAUACAAUUAAGAAAAAGUAUAUUUUUGGGGGGCCCCCAAGAGAGUGGGGCCCUAAGCUAUAGCUUGUUUAGGUUAUACAUAAAUCCGGCACUGGGUCCUAUUGCAAAAUGUUUCAGUGUUGAGUGCUUCUUUUCAGGUACUAGCUAGCCACACAAUUCCAUUCCCUCCCUAGGGUUUCCUUCACCACAGUAGUAAGUCAGCAUUCAGGACCUAUAAGCAGGCUCAGUUCUCAUUAGCCUGUUUGAGUGUUUGCCAUUGCCUCUUCCCACAUUUUGGUUUUUCUCCCAGCCACAUUGAUGUCUAUGGGCUGCUCUCUUUUCUAACCUUGGGGACAUUUUAAAACAGUGUGAAGUAGAAAAUGAUCUAUCCAGAUGAUGAGAUGUUUCUUUCUAUCCCUUUCUAUGUCUCUGUGUUGUUUCCUCCCUUUCCAGCCACUCCACUCCAUCCCCGCCUCCUGCCCACUUUUUUGUUUUUCACUUAAGUUUCUCAAAAUUCUUGGUUUUCAUUCGACUCUUUUCCGCUUAUGUCCUCUUAAAGUUUUUUUUAAAAAAUAACUUCUGCAAUCCUUGGGUUACUCUGAGUCUGCUGACUGUUCUCUCUUGUGUGCAGUGUUGGCUAUACAAGCAUAAGCAAGGAAAUUUUUUGAAUUGGUAUUAAAAAGAAUAUUUAUUUUUAUAUAUUAAGGAUAUUUCCAACCCACCCUUUCACACAAUGGAUCCCAGGAUGGAGCACAUUACAUGAUUAUAAAACACAAUCCAAAAUGUGAUGAAAAUACAUUACUGCUGAAAAGCCAUCCUUAUGGUUGCCUAUAAUUAAAAAUAUAUAACAGAAUGAGCUCUGCAAGAGAGGAUAAAAUUAAUUUAAAAAUGGUUUCUUCAGCUAUGUUCGAAGCAAGAGGAAGAACAAGCAAGUGAUAGGUCCUCUGGGUGGAGAAGACGGAGAAAUGUUAUUAGGCGACAGAGAGAAGGGGAACUGCUCAACAUAUACUUUGGAAGACAUUCUACAUUUGUAGGGAAGCCACUGAGAAUACUUCAUUAGGCAUUUUUCUGUUCAUGUUUGGAGCUGUUAAUAUUUAUAACUAGGAAGUGUUCUAUAGGACAAAAAUAUUGUCUUGUAUUAUCCCUGUGGAACAAUAGGGAGACACUACAGAGGCCACUAAAGAUAGCUUAUACGGUACAGCACUACAUUCUACAAUUUCACUACUUCUUGUUGUUGUUGUUUAGUCGUUUAGUCGUGUCCGACUCUUCGUGACCCCAUGGACCAGAGCACGCCAGGCACUUCUGUGUUCCACUGCCUCCUGCAGUUUAGUCAAACUCAUGCUGAUAGCUUUGAGAACACUAUCCAACCAUCUCGUCCUCUGUCGUCCCCUUCUCCUUGUGCCUUCCAUCUUUCCCAACAUGAGGGUCUUUUCCAGGGAGUCUUCUCUUCUCAUGAGGUGGCCAAAGUAUUGGAGCCUCAGCUUCAGCAUCUGUCCUUCCAGUGAGAACUCAGGGCUGAUUUCCUUCAGAAUGGAUAGGUUUGAUCUUCUUGCAGUCCAUGGGACUCUCAAGAGUCUCCUCCAGCACCAUAAUUCAAAAGCAUCAAUUCUUCGGUGAUCAGCCUUCUUUAUGGUCCCGCUCUCACUUCCACAGUACUCAUUUCACUACUACCACCUCGUAAUUCCUCAUUCUUGUACUACAUUGAACAGUUUCAUUACUGCUAGUUUUCACAAUGAUUCCAUAUGAUCAAUGGACUACAAUUUCAUUUUCUGUUCUCUAGACA